UGGGGAAUAUUGCGCAAUGGGCGAAACCCUGAUGCAGCGACGCCGCGUGAACGAUGAAGCCCUUCGGGGUGUAAAGUUCUUUCGGCAGGAACGAUAAUGACGGUACCUGAAGAAGAAGCUGCGGCUAACUACGUGCCAGCAGCCGCGGUAAUACGUAGGCAGCAAACGUUGUUCGGAGUUACUGGGCGUAAAGAGUACGUAGGCGGUUUGCCAAGUUUGGUGUGAAAUCUCCUGGCUUAACUGGGAGGGUGCGCCGAAUACUGGCAGACUUGAGUAUUGGAGAGGAAAGCGGAAUUCCUGGUGUAGCGGUGAAAUGCGUAGAUAUCAGGAGGAACACCGGUGGUGUAGACGGCUUUCUGGACAAUCACUGACGCUGAGGUACGAAAGCGUGGGUAGCAAACAGGAUUAGAUACCCACGUAGUCCCUGAGCGGGCUGGCAAGGCGCAU
rnacentral:rRNA from 1 species